rnacentral:lncRNA from 1 species
UGUUUAUACAUGCACAUACACACAUAAACAGAAUCAUACUUAUUAUAUAUGCCCAUAUGUAUAAAGCACUUAAUGACUUUGUAUAGAUUUUAGUUUAUCAAAAGAUAAGUAUGACCCACAAGAGAAAUCAACCCUGGCCAGACUUAUGAUUUGUGCAAAUAAUUUUCAUCUUCCUUUUAGUGUUUGCAGUGUCCUGAUACCUGACAGUGUCUAUAACUGAGCAUGAUUUUUAUGGGAAUCUUAGAAGUUCAUGGUACCCCAUGACUCCUUCCUGACCAAUUCAGACCACGGAGGAGUUGGGGAAUUAAUAUGUGUGUCAGUCUACUUUGUGUUGCUACAAUAGAAUACUGAGGCUGAGUAAUCCAUAAAGAAGAGGUUUAUUUAGCUCAAGGUUCAGGAGGUUCAAUAGCAUGACACUAGAUUCUGCUUGGUUCUAGUGAUGGCUUCAUGCAGAUGACAUCGAAAUGCCAGGAGUGUAUGUGGAAGUUAUGGAUGAUAAGACAGGAAGCCAGAAAGAUUCAGGGGAGGUGCCCACUCUCCUGAACCAACUCAUUCUGCAACCCCCUGACACUGAGGACCAAGAUUCCAACAUGCAAAGCUUCAGUGGACCCACUCAACCCCUAUCCAAACCACAGCCCCAUGAUAAGGAAGCAGUUUAUCUACUGCACCUGCUAUUCCUUGUCCCCUAGUGUUUCCCUAAUGUUGUCAACUGAGACACAGGGUAGUGUCACAAUAGACCAAGACAAUAAAGUUAUUUUAUCUUAGAUAUUAUUUUUUAUAUUAGUUUAUUUGUAGAUAGAGGUGAAGCAUGCGUA